rnacentral:rRNA from 1 species
UACGUAGGUGGCAAGCGUUGUCCGGAAUUACUGGGCGUAAAGCGUGCGCAGGCGGCGCGUUAAGACAGGUGUGAAAGCCCCGAGCUUAACUUGGGAAUUGCGCUUGUGACUGGCGUGCUGGAGUGUGGCAGAGGGAGGUGGAAUUCCACGUGUAGCAGUGAAAUGCGUAGAGAUGUGGAGGAACACCGAUGGCGAAGGCAGCCUCCUGGGCCAGCACUGACGCUCAUGCACGAAAGCGUGGGGAGCAAACAGG